AGGGCACCACCAGGAGUGGAGCCUGCGGCUUAAUUUGACUCAACACGGGGAAACUUACCCGGCCUGGACACUGGAAGGAUUGACAGAUUGAGAGCUCUUUCUUGAUUCAGUGGGUGGUGGUGCAUGGCCGUUCUUAGUUGGUGGAGCGAUUUGUCUGGUUAAUUCCGAUAACGAACGAGACUCUAGCCUAUUAAAUAGGCUCUCGGCUUUUAAACGCCGGGAGGACUUCUUAGAGGGACAGGUGGCGGUUCAGCCGCACGACAGAGAGCAAUAACAGGUCUGUGAUGCCCUUUGUUGUCCGGGGCCGCACGCGCGCUACACUGAAGAGAUCAGCGUGCUUUACGUUCCUGCUCCGACCGGAGUGGGGAACCCAGUGAACCUUCUUCGUGAUUGGGAUAGAAGAUUGUAAUUAUUCUUCUUGAACGAGGAAUUCCCAGUAAAUGCGAGUCAUAAGCUCGCGUUGAUUACGUCCCUGCCCUUUGUACACACCGCCCGUCGCUACUACCGAUUGAACGAUUU
rnacentral:rRNA from 1 species